UUGGAAGUCUUUUUCGAUGACCACGAAAUCUGUUACAACUUCAAAACUCGGGGAUAAAUGGGCCCACCUCUCUACUUAUCUCCACUUAAAUACUUACAAUAGCCAAGUUUCAAACUCACGAUGCUCAUCUAUCACAAAUCCCCUGCUAUACUACAUUUCCCGUUAAACAAAACCCUUGGGGGCAGAAGGUACUUGAAAGUCUUAAAUUUACUCUAGCCGCCAUGGCUCAUAUCUAUCAUACACGAAGAACAUUUUAGGAGGCCAUGACGAUGGUGAUUGAAGAACAUCCUUCAUCUAUCCCACAUAAACAAUAUGAACACAAACAUCAAUCCUUCAUCUACAACAACAACUAACAUACCCAGUAUAAUCCCACAAGUGGGGAAGAUACAAAGCAACCGUGCAAGAGAUAGUGAUACACAUCGAAGAAUAGACAACUACGCGAUUCCUAAAUAAUACUACUACUAAGAAAUACGUAUAGAGAGGCUAGCCCUACCUCUCCCACCUACAGUGUUACACCACUCGACUACCUACUACCCUUCUACCCUAACCUUCGACCUCCACACUUUCCUAUCUAGGGUCAUGUCCUCAGUAAGCUGAAAUUGUGCUAUGUCCUAUCCAAUCACUUCCCCCCAGUUCUUCUUCGGCCUAUCUCUACCUCUCCUAACUCCU